GGCCGGGUGCAGCCCCGUGGGCUCGGCGCGCUGCUCUAGGUUGCAGGAAAACCUGUCUCUCCCAGCGUGGUUGGGGAGGGGGCUGGGUUUUGCUUUUUGUUUCUGGAAGUCCCCCUUCACCCUCGUUAGUCCCCGCGUGCAGCCGUGAGGAUCGUGUGGAAAGGCUGCAGUGCCCCGGGGCGCACCCCGCCCCGCGCACGCCGGGACGCCAAAAGGCACAGCCCCGGGGGGCUCCCUGCACCCAGGAGGAGGCGCGGCUGACACUUCCGAUGCCAAGUUUCUAAGGGAAACAAAAUUCUACUGUAAAGACAUUAAAGCAGCAGAGAGCCACUGAGGACAGAAGCGCCAUAGAGAGAGGGACCAUCCUACCAGCACCGGAAGCUCCAUAGAGAAGGGGACCAUCCCACUGGCACCACGCUGCCCAGCACUGCUGUGUUUUGGCUGCAGCAGCAGAGAGCUGACUGAGGCGGCUAGCUUCCUGUGGGACGAGUGGCGUGAGUACCAGCAAGCAGGGCACUGAGCAGAAGACGUGGGCAAGAUGCGAAGAUUCUCAGUGACACGUGGCCAGAGUUCCAGGGUCCUGGGUAACCAGGCCUGGUUAAGCAUUUGGCUGGUUAAGCUUUCAGGCUUUUG